rnacentral:rRNA from 1 species
AAGCUCGUCGUUGAAUUUCGGGAUCAAUUUAUCGGUCGUGCCUACGGUAUGAACUGGUACUAUUGGUUUCUACCUUCUGACGGACUGUGAUGUCAUUAAUUUGGUGUCAUGGGGAAUCAGGACUGUUACUUUGAAAAAAUUAGAGUGUUUAAAGCAGGCACACGCUUGAAUACAUUAGCAUGGAAUAAUGAAAUAGGACGUUUGAUCCUAUUUUGUUGGUUUCUAGGAUUGACGUAAUGAUUAAUAGGGAUAGUUGGG